CAACUUCCUCCCAUCCAGUACUGCAUCAUCAUGCUAGCAGAUCGAGGAUUAGUGAUUCUGACACUCUGAAUCCUGUUUCGGAUCAGUCGAUCAAGCCCUACAAUAAUCAAGUCAGGGGUUCUGAAGAUAGCACGAUGCAGUCUUUUGUUCCGCUCACGCCAUAUCGAAUAGAUUGUAAAUUGCCAGCAGAGGAAGUUUUGCAGGGCCGGAAUAUUCCGACGAGAAGCCAUCGCCGACCAAAUUGUAAACGCAAACGGAUAGUCAAAAAAGAGAUGGUUUCUGGAUUCAGGAUUAGCGUUGCAUAGGAUACAAGUCGGUGUAACGUCUAACCCCCGAUUGAUCAUACGGUCUUUUGUUGGACAUCUAUUGAGCAUCACAAGCCAAGUCAAAAAGCUUUGCUUCGGGAUUCCAAGGGGAGACCACACCAGUUGCGACCAGUUCACAGUUUCGAUAUCUCCUCGAAGGAUCAGAGUAGUGAGGUAUGCUUGAAACGCCAAUUGAUUAUCAGUCCGAGCAUGCGGGAGAAUCCAAUUGCCAUUAGCAGACAAGGAAGCCAGAGUGGCUCUAUGCGGUAUCCCCAAUCGAGAAGAAGCUCCAUUCAGAAAAGUGAAGAUAUUGCCAAACGGAGACCAAUUAUCAUCCCAGAAUCUAGUGACCACCCAAACUGAGUCUUCUCUGAAGAACAAGAGCCAAACCAGCUUGAGGAUGCACGCUCUGUUCCAAGUAGCCAAGUCACGCACGCCUAAACCGCCCUGCUCUCGCGUAUUAGUAACCGUAUCCCAAGAGACGCGUGCUGAAUGGCUACCUUCAAGCUCUCCAUGCCAGAGAAAGGAACCACACAUGGAGUUUAUUUGCUUUACACACGCCUACGGCAGUAUGAAAGAAAAGCACCAAAAGGGGCUGGCAGUUAACAAGUGAGAGUUUUUUCGAGAUCAGAGGCACACCAAGAUAUCUCAUAGGCAGUGAGGCAGAGGUCAUUCCCGUAGAAGCCUGGAUCGUUGCUAUUCAUUCGUCAGUUAAACCCGAUGCAAAGAAGCUCGUUUUUUGAAAGCUGACCGCAAGUCCGGAGCGCUGCUCAAACUCAUGUAGCGUCAUUAGCACAGUCUGCACCGACUCAAUUGAUCCAUCAAUGAAGAUUAACAGGUCAUCAGCAAGUUGAGAAAAGCAAUAUUGGUCAACGAAUUUUAUCUUCACAUAUAAAACAUUUUAAUUAUUUCAUCUAAUUUCAAAAGAUACACUUUUUAAAGAAAAUUAAUUUUAAAAAAACAAAUUGCAAACAAAUUUUAUAUAUCUUUUAUUAGUUGAUAAUCAUAGUUAUAAACAAGGCUUAUAGGAAGAUAAAAGUUGUUAGAC